rnacentral:rRNA from 1 species
AAAAGUUUAGCGGCCGCGGUAUUUUGACCGUGCGAAGGUAGCGUAAUCACUUGUCUUUUAAAUGAAGACCUGUAUGAAUGGCAUAACGAGGGCUCAACUGUCUCCUUUUUCCAGUCAGUGAAAUUGACCUGCUCGUGUAGAGGCGAGCAUAACCCCAUAAGACGAGAAGACCCUAUGGAGCUUAAAACACAAGAUCAACUAUGUUAUCAAGCCACCCACCCACGGAAAUAACAGCUAAAAGCAUAAUAGUCCCCUGAUCCUAAUGUUUUCGGUUGGGGCGACCACGGAGGACGAAAUAGCCUCCAUGUCGACGGGGGCGCUGCCCCUAAAACCUAGGGCGACAGCCCAAAUCAACAGAACAUCUGACGAACAAUGAUCCAGGCUACAAACCUGAUCAACGAACCAAGUUACCCUAGGGAUAACAGCGCAAUCCUUUCUAAGAGUCCAUAUCGACGAAAGGGUUUACGACCUCGAUGUUGGAUCAGGACAUCCUAUUGGUUCAUCCACUAUUAAGGG